UACGUAGGCAGCGAGCGUUGUUCGGAGUUACUGGGCGUAAAGGGUGUGUAGGCGGUUCUUUUAAGUUUGGUGUGAAAUCUCCCGCUUAACCGGGAGGGUGCGCCGAAUACUGAGGGACUAGAGUACGGGAGAGGAAAGUGGAAUUCCUGGUGUAGCGGUGAAAUGCGUAGAUAUCAGGAGGAACACCUGAGGUGAAGACGGGUUGCUGGGCUGAUACUGACGCUGAGGCGCGAAAGCUAGGGUAGCAAACGGG
rnacentral:rRNA from 1 species